rnacentral:rRNA from 1 species
AGGACGAACGCUGGCGGCGUGCUUAACACAUGCAAGUCGAGCGGAAAGGCCCUUCGGGGUACUCGAGCGGCGAACGGGUGAGUAACACGUGAGUAAUCUGCCCCUAGCUCUGGGAUAGCUCCGGGAAACCGGGAUUAAUACUGGAUACGACCACCUUAGACAUCUUUUGUGGUGGAAAGAAUUUCGGCUAGGGAUGAGCUCGCGGCCUAUCAGCUUGUUGGUGGGGUAACGGCCUACCAAGGCGACGACGGGUAGCCGGCCUGAGAGGGCGACCGGCCACACUGGGACUGAGACACGGCCCAGACUCCUACGGGAGGCAGCAGUGGGAAUAUUGCGCAAUGGGCGAAAGCCUGACGCAGCGACGCCGCGUGGGGAAUGAAGGCCUUCGGGUUGUAAACCCCUUUCAGCAGGGACGAAGCGAAAGUGACGGUACCUGCAGAAGAAGCGCCGGCUAACUACGUGCCAGCAGCCGC